GCUGGGCAUGGUGGCUCAUGCUUGUAGUCCCAGCACUUUGGGAGGCUGAGGUAGGAGGAUCACUUGAGGCCAGGAGUUCAAGACCAACCUGGCCAACAUAGCGAGACCCUAUCUCUU
rnacentral:sRNA from 1 species